GGCAACUUGGCCGAGCGGUUAUGGCGCCAGUUUCAGGUAUAAUCCCGACCUACUGGUUCGAGAGAGCGUGGGUUCGAGUCCCACAGUUGUCA
rnacentral:tRNA from 2 species